rnacentral:rRNA from 1 species
GACGUAGGAGGCGAGCGUUAUCCGGAUUUACUGGGUGUAAAGCGCGUGCAGGCGGUUUGGUAAGUUGGAUGUGAAAGCUCCCGGCUCAACUGGGAGAGGUCGUUCAAAACUACCAGACUAGAGGGCGGUAGAGGGAGGUGGAAUUCCGUGUGUAGUGGUGAAAUGCGUAGAUAUACGGAGGAACACCAGUGGCGAAAGCGGCCUCCUGGACCGAUCCUGACGCUCAGACGCGAAAGCUAGGGUAGCAAACGGGAUUAGAGACCCCGGUAGUCCUAGCCGUAAACGAUGUGAACUUGGCGUCGGUGGGUUUAAAUCCAUCGGUGCCGAAGCUAACGCGAUAAGUUCACCACCUGGGGACUACGGCCGCAAGGUUA